rnacentral:rRNA from 1 species
AUUCCAGCCCCAAUAGCGUAUAUUAAAGUUGUUGCAGUUAAAAAGCUCGUAGUUGGAUUUCUGGCGCCCCUAUUGUUCAGCAGUGCUGCAAUUGUAGCUUCUGCGUUCGCUAGUGGGCAGUCAUUCCUUUGUUCUUUCACACACCUAGUGCUGUGAUAGUCUCAGAGGCAUUACCUUGAGGAAAUUAGGGUGUUCCAGGCAGAGCGACGUCUCGAAUAUAUUAGCAUGGAAUAAUACGAUAUGACUUUGCUUGCUUUGGCUGGCUCAGCGAGUGAAGUAAUGAUUAAUAGAAGCUGUCGGGGGCAUUCGUACUUAACUGUUAGAGGUGAAAUUCUUGGAUUUGUUAAAGACGAUCGACUGCGAAGGCAUUUGCCAAGGAAGUUUUCAUCA